rnacentral:rRNA from 1 species
GGAGUUAGCCGGUGCUUCUUCUGUGAGUGAUGUCCUUCCUGCCGGCUAUUAACCCGCAGGCCUUCUUCCUCACUGAAAGUGCUUUACAACCCGAAGGCCUUCUUCACACACGCGGCAUGGCUGGAUCAGGGUUGCCCCCAUUGUCCAAUAUUCCCCACUGCUGCCUCCCGUAGGAGUCUGGGCCGUGUCUCAGUCCCAGUGUGGCUGAUCAUCCUCUCAGACCAGCUACGGAUCGUCGCCUUGGUGAGCCGUUACCUCACCAACCAGCUAAUCCGACAUAGGCUCAUCCGAUAGCGCGAGGCCCGAAGGUCCCCCGCUUUCCCCCGUAGGGCGUAUGCGGUAUUAGCCUGGGUUUCCCCAGGUUAUCCCCCGACUACCGGGCAGAUUCCUAUGCAUUACUCACCCGUCCGCCGCUCGCCACCAGGGAGCAAGCUCCCCGUGCUGCCGCUCGACUUGCAUGUGUUAGGCCUGCCGCCAGCGUUCAAUCUGAGCANAAUACAACUACUGA